rnacentral:misc_RNA from 1 species
CUUUGAGAUCAACCUGCGUUGUUAAAUAAAAUCUGAAAUUCCAAUAAGCUUUAGAUCAAUAUUUUCUUUUUUCUUCAUUUUGAAGAAAUGAAAUUUUUGUAUCAUCUCAAAGGGAUUUCAAAAAGGGAUUUCAAAAAGAAACUCAAAAUCAAAUUCCAAGAGCACUUGCAUUUUAGAUAUAAACUAUUUCUUUUUGUUCAUUUGUCUCUGACUAGGACUAAAACUCAAAAUCGAGACCUUACAACCUUAGAGACAACUUCAAUACAAUUAAACUAAAAUUCAUUCGUUUUUAGAUAAAGAUAAUAAAAGUAAUAGAAAGAAUAGAAGACCUUGCAGCUCUUCCUGUUGAAG